GAAUUUUAAGUAUAAUUUUUUUGUAUAACUAAUUGUUGAUUAGUAGGUUAAAAAUUCU
rnacentral:tRNA from 1 species